AUGCAGGUCUGGUGUAUCACCAAGAUUCUGAGUCAGCAAGUUUGGCAAGAGGGAUUCACAAUUUGAGUUUUAACAGGCACCAGUUGAUGCUGAUUCUGAUGGUCUCAUGUGGCACCCUCAGAGGAACAAUAGAAGAAUUGCAGAAUAAGGAGAAGGAGGAGCAGCAACUGGAGCAGCAGGAAGACAAGGAGGAUGAAGAGGAAGAGGAGAAGGAGACGGCAGUAAAGAAGAUAGAGAAGCAAGAUUGAGGAGAGCCCAGCAUAAACAUCACUACAAAUACCCAUUCAUGGGUUGUA
rnacentral:lncRNA from 1 species